rnacentral:rRNA from 1 species
UGAGCAAUCUGCCCUUCUCUUUGGAAUAAGCGUUGGAAACGACGUCUAAUGCCGAAUACGACCUCCUUUCGCAUGAUCGGAGGUGGAAAGCUCCGGCGGAGAAGGAUGAGCUCGCGGCCUAUCAGCUAGUUGGUGUGGGUAAUGGCCCACCAAGGCGACGACGGGUAGCCGGCCUGAGAGGGUGACCGGCCACACGUGGGACUGAACGACGACCGACCACGUACCCGUUACCCGGGUACGGGGACGAGACGACGGG